rnacentral:lncRNA from 1 species
GAAUCAGAUCUAAAGCUCUAAGUUGAAACCAUUGUUUCAUACCUGAGCUAUUUGAUCUUGAUUAGCACUCGGGGACCCUCCCUUAUGGUGCCGUUGAUAUUCCGUGAUCUCUCGCAUUUCCUGAUUAUUUCACAAGAACAACAAAGCAACCUCAGGAGCUAUUCCAUAGGACGAUUAUCAUGAUUCUAGGGCGGACCUGUGCCUUAGAGCCUAAAAAUGAAGUUUGAACUAGCUUAAUUA